GGGGAUUUAGCUCAGCGGUGUAAGCACCUGCCUGGCAAGCACGUGCUUAAGGUUGAGUUUAAUCCCCG
rnacentral:tRNA from 1 species